rnacentral:rRNA from 1 species
UACAGAGGGUGCGAGCGUUAAUCGGAAUUACUGGGCGUAAAGCGUGCGUAGACGGUUAUUUAAGUCGGAUGUGAAAGCCCCGGGCUUAACUUGGGAAUUGCGCUCGAAACUAUGGUGCUGGAGUGUGGCAGAGGAAGGUGGAAUUCCACGUGUAGCGGUGAAAUGCGUAGAGAUGUGGAGGAACACCGAUGGCGAAGGCAGCCUUCUGGGCCAACACUGACGCUCAUGCACGAAAGCGUGGGGAGCAAACAGG